AUUGCCACAGAUGGCUGUGGAAGACAUGUCAUUGUGUAUUUUUUACAGUGGAGAUUAAUAUGUUCUUGAUUAGUGUGUAUGUCAGAG